rnacentral:rRNA from 1 species
GAUCCUGGCUCAAGAUGAACGCUGGCGGCGUGCUUAACACAUGCAAGUCGAACGGAACACCCUUGAAGGAGUUUUCGGACAACUGAUAGGACUGUUUAGUGGCGGACGGGUGAGUAACGCGUGAGUAACCUGCCUUGGAGUGGGGAAUAACAGCUGGAAACAGCUGCUAAUACCGCAUGAUGCAGUUGGGUCGCAUGGCUCUGACUGCCAAAGAUUUAUCGCUCUGAGAUGGACUCGCGUCUGAUUAGCUAGUUGGCGGGGUAACGGCCCACCAAGGCGACGAUCAGUAGCCGGACUGAGAGGUUGGCCGGCCACAUUGGGACUGAGACACGGCCCAGACUCCUACGGGAGGCAGCAGUGGGGAAUAUUGGGCAAUGGGCGCAAGCCUGACCCAGCAACGCCGCGUGAAGGAAGAAGGGUUUCGGCUCGUAAAGCUCUGUUGGUAGUGAAGAAAGAUAGAGGUAGUAACUGGCCUUUAUUUGACGGUAAUUACUUAGAAAGUCACGGCUAACUACGUGCCAGCAGCCGCGGUAAUACGUAAGUGGCAAGC